rnacentral:rRNA from 1 species
UACAGAGGGUGCAAGCGUUAAUCGGAAUUACUGGGCGUAAAGCGCACGUAGGUGGUUUGGCAAGUUGGAUGUGAAAGCCCUGGGCUUAACCUGGGAACUGCAUUCAAUACUACCAAGCUAGAGUAGAGUAGAGGGAAGUGGAAUUUCCGGUGUAGCGGUGAAAUGCGUAGAUAUCGGAAGGAACACCAGUGGCGAAGGCGGCUUCCUGGACUCAUACUGACACUGAGGUGCGAAAGCGUGGGGAUCAAACAGG